UCCGGUUUGAACCCGGCACUCACUGCUUUCGCAGUAAUUCUCAGGAUGUCAAGACCAGGUAAGGUUCUUCGCUUACCAUCGAAUUAAACAACACGCUCCACCGCUUGUGCGGGUCCCCGCCAAUUCCUUUGAGUUUUAGUCUUGCGACCGUACUCCCCAGGCGGGAUGCUUAACGCGUUAGCUUCGCUACAUACCGGGUCGAUACGGCAUACAGCUAGCAUCCAUAGUUUACAGCGUGGACUAC
rnacentral:misc_RNA from 1 species